ACGCGGACCGCGCCAGGCGGAAGCCCGGCUCCGGGCCAGGAUCUGAGAGCCCGGACUGGAGGUGAGUUCGCAGCCGGAGCGUUGCAGGCACUUGUUUCCUCAGUGGAUGCUUUUCGGCGUGCCGCCGCCCGGCGCCGCGGGACUGGGAGACCGGGAAUUGAGAAGAGGAGGAAGAAUAAUGGGAGGAGACAGGACCUUUUUCAACUUGACUAAUAGGAAAAUUCACCAGUAAAUGUGUUGAAAAUGCCCCUAAUGAUAUUGGCCUCUAUUUAUUGAUCAUAUAUGCCAGACACUGCACUGCAAUGAGAAAUGUAACUCAUUUCUUACAACAACCCUUA
rnacentral:lncRNA from 1 species